AUUGAACGCUGGCGGCAGGUCUAACACAUGCAAGUCGAGCGGCAGCGGGAAAGUAGCUUGCUACUUUUGCCGGCGAGCGGCGGACGGGUGAGUAAUGCCUGGGGAUCUGCCCAGUCGAGGGGGAUAACUACUGGAAACGGUAGCUAAUACCGCAUACGCCCUACGGGGGAAAGCAGGGGACCUUCGGGCCUUGCGCGAUUGGAUGAACCCAGGUGGGAUUAGCUAGUUGGUGAGGUAAUGGCUCACCAAGGCGACGAUCCCUAGCUGGUCUGAGAGGAUGAUCAGCCACACUGGAACUGAGACACGGUCCGGACUCCUACGGGAGGCAGCAGUGGGGAACAUUGCACAAUGGGGGAAACCCUGAUGCAGCCAUGCCGCGUGUGUGAAGAAGGCCUUCGGGUUGUAAAGCACUUUCAGCGAGGAGGAAAGGUUGGUAGCUAAUAACUGCCAGCUGUGACGUUACUCGCAGAAGAAGCACCGGCUAACUCCGUGCCAGCCGCCGCGGUAAAAC
rnacentral:rRNA from 1 species